CCUACGGGAGGCUGCAGUAGGGAAUAUUGCACAAUGGGGGAAACCCUGAAGCAGCAACGCCGCGUGGGGGAUGAAGGAUUUAGGAAUGUAAAGCUCUAUGGGCAGGGAAGAUAAUGACGGUAUCUGACGAAUAAGCACCGGCUAACUCCGUGCCAGCAGCCGCGGUAAUACGGAGGGGGCAAGCGUUACUCGGAAUCACUGGGCGUAAAGGGUGCGUAGGCGGGUUAGUAAGUCAGAAGUGAAAGCCUGUAGCCUAACUCCAGAACUGCUUUUGAAACUGUUACUCUGGAGUGCAGGAGAGGUAGGUGGAAUUCUUGGUGUAGGGGUAAAAUCCGUAGAGAUUAAGAGGAAUACUAGUUGCGAAGGCGACUUACUGGAACAUUACUGACGCUGAUGCACGAAAGCGUGGGGAGCAAACAGGAUUAGAUACCCGGGUAGUC
rnacentral:rRNA from 1 species